CCUACGGGGGGCAGCAGUGAGGAAUAUUGGUCAAUGGGCGCGAGCCUGAACCAGCCAAGUAGCGUGAAGGAUGACUGCCCUACGGGUUGUAAACUUCUUUUAUAAAGGAAUAAAGUGAGGCACGUGUGCCUUUUUGCAUGUACUUUAUGCAUAAGGAUCGGCUAACUCCGUGCCAGCAGCCGCGGUAAUACGGAGGAUCCGAGCGUUAUCCGGAUUUAUUGGGUUUAAAGGGAGCGUAGAUGGGUUGUUAAGUCAGUUGUGAAAGUUUGCGGCUCAACCGUAAAAUUGCAAUUGAUACUGGCAGCCUUGAGUACAGUUGAGGUGGGCGGAAUUCGUGGUGUAGCGGUGAAAUGCUUAGAUAUCACGAAGAACUCCGAUUGCGAAGGCAGCUUACUAAACUGCCACUGACAUUGAGGCUCGAAAGUGUGGGGAGCAAACAGGAUUAGAUACCCGGGUAGUC
rnacentral:rRNA from 1 species